GGUCAGCACUGGUUUGUUAUUGUUGGCUUCUGUGGUAAUCCUGGUGAAUAUACAUCAGUCGCGAGGAGGUUCUUUAAGUCCAUAUGGGCGAAAUGUUCGGACAUUAUAUACAGCAUAUUAUGUGCCUGAAGGAAGAUCUUAUAAAAUAUAUUAUUAUGUCAGAACGUGCACUACGACAUGCACUUUUUUUUGUUGGGGGAGAAGACGGGUAUGUAGUAAUCGGCAGAAAAGCAAAUGGAAAACUGUUUACACAUAUGUGAGAAGAACCAGGAAAAUUUACAGAUGCAGCUACGGCUGGAAGCAAAGUGGAUCUAGUUGCA